rnacentral:rRNA from 2 species
UCUUACUAGAGUGCAGGAGAGGGAAGCGGAAUUCCUAGUGUAGCGGUGAAAUGCGUAGAUAUUAGGAAGAACACCAGUGGCGAAGGCGGCUUUCUGGACUGUAACUGACGCUGAGGCACGAAAGCGUGGGGAGCGAACAGGAUUAGAUACCCUGGUAGUCCACGCCGUAAACGAUGAGUGCUAGGUGUUGGGCCCAUAUGGGUUCAGUGCUGAAGUUAACGCAUUAAGCACUCCACCUGGGGAGUACGAUCGCAAGAUUGAAACUCAAAGGAAUUGACGGGGACCCGCACAAGCGGUGGAGCAUGUAGUUUAAUUCGAAGCAACGCGAAGAACCUUACCAAGGCUUGACAUCCUCCUGACAGGUUCGUAAUGGGACCCUUCCUUCGGGACAGGAGAGACAGGUGGUGCAUGGUUGUCGUCAGCUCGUGUCGUGAGAUGUUGGGUUAAGUCCCGCAACGAGCGCAACCCUUAUCUCUAGUAACCAGCGAGAAAAGUCGGGGACUCUAGAGAGACUGCCAGGGAUAACCUGGAGGAAGGUGGGGAUGACGUCAAAUCAUCAUGCCCCUUAUGUCUUGGGCUACACACGUGCUACAAUGGCUGUGACAAAGGGAAGCGAAGGGGUGACCUGGAGCAAAUCCCAAAAAAGCAGUCUCAGUUCGGAUUGUAGUCUGCAACUCGACUACAUGAAGACGGAAUCGCUAGUAAUCGCGGAUCAGAAUGCCGCGGUGAAUACGUUCCCGGGUCUUGUACACACCGCCCGUCACACCACGGGAGUUGGAAGCACCCGAAGCCGGUGACCUAACUGCAAAGGAGGAGCCGUCGAAGGUGAAGCCAAUGACUGGGGUGAAGUCGUAACAAGG